rnacentral:rRNA from 1 species
ACGGUAACCCACAGGUAUCCAGUCGUGAGCUACACACAGGUGCUGCAUGGCUGUCGUCAGCUCGCGUCGUGAGAUGUCGGGUCAAUCAAAUGGCCCCCCGUGCCGGCGACGGCGCGGUGACACAUUCGGCCGUAUGCUGGGACGCCCGAGUAUCCCUCCCUACCAGGCUAACCCCUGGUGACAACGGGCAGGGUGCGGGUAAUCAGCAGGAAACCGGGCGACCGGGAUCCUCAGAGACUGCACGCCGAACGUCUGCCUGGCAGAUGAAGAUACAGUCCGUACUGCAAGGCGACUUGCAGAGGUUGGCGGAAACGACCAACCCCCCAGCCUCCGGCUGGGAGUAACAAGGUAGUAAGUCCCAUAACGAGCGAAACCCCUGUCUCCAGUUGCCAGCGAGUCAAGUCGGGGACUCUGGAGAGACUGCCGGUGUCAAACCGGAGGAAGGUGGGGAUGACGUCAAGUCCUCAUGGCCUUUAUGCCCAGGGCUGCACACGUGCUACAAUGGCACGCACAGAGGGACGCGACUGCGCAAGCAGGAGCCGAUCCCGGAAAACGUGCCCCAGUUCAGAUCGCAGGCUGCAACUCGCCUGCGUGAAGUUGGAAUCGCUAGUAAUCGCGGGUCAGCAACACCGCGGUGAAUGUGUUCCUGAGCCUUGUACACACCGCCCGUCAAGCCACGAAAGAGA